UGGGGAGUCGCCAAGCGGUAAGGCAGCGGCCUUUGGAGCCGCCAUUCGGAGGUUCGAAUCCUCCCUCCCCAGCCA
rnacentral:tRNA from 2 species